rnacentral:rRNA from 1 species
UACGAAGGGGGCUAGCGUUGCUCGGAAUCACUGGGCGUAAAGGGUGCGUAGGCGGGUCUUUAAGUCAGGGGUGAAAUCCUGGAGCCCAACUCCAGAACUGCCUUUGAUACUGAAGAUCUUGAGUUCGGGAGAGGUGAGUGGAACUGCGAGUGUAGAGGUGAAAUUCGUAGAUAUUCGCAAGAACACCAGUGGCGAAGGCGGCUCACUGGCCCGUUACUGACGCUGAGGCACGAAAGCGUGGGGAGCAAACAGG